AAUUAAACUAAAACAGAAACAAAAGGGGAUUUAGGGUUACCUUGCACCGUUUCAGAUGUUCAGACUCUUCUUCCUUCUUCACAAAACCCAACGGCGACGGCGCGGUGGGGAAAUUCAUCUUCUCCGACGAAGCGAACUCCAACGCCGCCAUAACCAGCGCCUCUUAGCUCUCUCCUCACACCUCUCCGUGUUUCGGAAUCUCAAACUCGCUCUGAUUUCACUUCAGAUCCCCUCUCGAUCUCGUCUCUCUCAUGAGAUCGACAUAAUCACAUCAUUCUCGCUAGCUCGCCCUUGCUGCCCUCGUUUGAAGUUGAUAUGAAGGUGUUGUGAUGAAGAUCGAAAGAGAGAAUUUUGUUGCCACAGAUUGGUACGAAGAGUUUUUGAGGAGUUGAUGUAUGAAGGUUAUUGAAGAAAGUUGAGAUUGCGAGAAGAAUACGAAUCCUUUCGAGUUGAUGACUCUUGUUUGAAGGUUGAGGUGUGAUUGAAGGUUGAUUGAAUAGUGGCGAAGAUUGAUGAUGGUGAAGAGAGAUGAAGAGCCUGAAGUUUUUUCUGUUAGAGUUCUUAUGUAAGUUUUUUGUGUAAUGAAGGAUAUAGAGAAGUUUUCUUGGUGAAGAAGGUGGAGGUUGGUUCAAGGUCGAUGAUAGAGGAGAGAGUUGCAGAGUGUUGAAGAUUGGGGAAUGGAGAGGGAAUGGUGAAGAUGAUGAUGUUGUGUGAAGAGAAUGAAAUCGAGAGACUCUGAAUUGGACUCAGCUUUGGAUUUAUGGAGGUGAAGGGAAGAGAGUCGAGGUUAUGGAAACUGAUUUGAACUGUCAAUUUUGGUCGUGAUCAUGUAUGUAUGGAUGCAGGGCAUGGUUUUCUUGGUCACUUCUGUUAGCAACUGUGGCAGUAUGAAGAGUUUGGUUUAAUGGCUGCAGUUUGGUUAAAAGAUAGUUGUCAAUUUUGAGUUAGUUUCCCCUUUUUUGUCUUAAUGCAGGAUUUCGUUGGAAUGGAAACAUGGCUUGAGGCUUCUUGUCUAGAUGAUGAAUGGUGUUGGCUGUUAGUUAAAUGUUGUUAACAUGAUUUGCUGGUAAUAGUUGGCUAAUUGGUGUAUGGUUUCUUUACGUCGCUGCAGGUACGGUUCUGGAGUUAGCUUGGAGCCUUUGUGGUAAAACUUAAAGAAUGCAUGGAGACGGAUUCGAGAUGGCAAGCAACGGCUACAGUGAAAACAACAUGGUGAAGACGCAUCCUCUUGGCGACCCCAGACUCAGAAUAUAUAUUACAUAACCUUCUCAUUUCUUUUCUGUAUAAUUUCCCAGUGUGUAUUGGAGAAUUCAUGAUGCUGAUGUAACUUGUUUGAAAUUGAAUGGUAAUUGAUGAAAAUCAAAUGAACUAAUGGAUAUGGAUUGAUGGAUGAAAUAUAUAUUUGAAGUGAUGUAAUGAAUGGACUUUCUCUUCCA